rnacentral:rRNA from 1 species
UACGGGGGGAGCAAGCGUUGUUCGGAUUUACUGGGCGUAAAGGGCGCGUAGGCGGCCACCGCAAGUCGACUGUGAAAUCUCCGGGCUUAACCCGGAAAGGUCAGCCGAUACUGCGGGGCUAGAGUGCAGAAGGGGGCAACUGGAAUUCUCGGUGUAGCGGUGAAAUGCUAGAUAUCGAGAGGAACACCUGCGGCGAAGGCGGGUUGCUGGGCUGACACUGACGCUGAUGCGCGAAAGCUAGGGGAGCGAACGGG